rnacentral:rRNA from 1 species
CCUACGGGAGGCUGCAGUGAGGAAUAUUGGUCAAUGGCCGGAAGGCUGAACCAGCCAUGCCGCGUGAAGGUCAGUGCCCUAUGGGCGUUAAACUUCUUUUGUGCGGGAGCAAUAGUGGUCACGUGUGGCCAGACGAGAGUACCGUACGAAUAAGCAUCGGCUAACUCCGUGCCAGCAGCCGCGGUAAGACGGGGGAUGCAAGCGUUAUCCGGAUUUAUUGGGUGUAAAGGGUGCGUAGGCUGUGAGGUAAGUCAUCGGUGAAAUGCCCCCGCUCAACGGGGUGAAGUGCCAUUGAUACUGGCUGGCUGGAAUGCGGAUGCCGUGGGAGGAAUGUGUGGUGUAGCGGUGAAAUGCAUAGAUAUCACACAGAACACCGAUUGCGAAGGCAUCUCACGAAUCCGCGAUUGACGCUGAUGCACGAAAGCGUGGGUAUCAAACAGGAUUAGAUACCCUGGUAGUC